GUGGGGAAUUUUGGACAAUGGGCGCAAGCCUGAUCCAGCAAUGCCGCGUGCAGGAAGAAGGCCUUCGGGUUGUAAACUGCUUUUGUACGGAACGAAAAGGCUCUGGUUAAUACCUGGGGCUCAUGACGGUACCGUAAGAAUAAGCACCGGCUAACUACGUGCCAGCAGCCGCGGUAAUACGUAGGGUGCAAGCGUUAAUCGGAAUUACUGGGCGUAAAGCGUGCGCAGACGGUUUUGUAAGACAGACGUGAAAUCCCCGGGCUCAACCUGGGAAUGGCGUUUGUGACUGCAAAGCUGGAGUGCAGCAGAGGGGGAUGGAAUUCCGCGUGUAGCAGUGAAAUGCGUAGAUAUGCGGAGGAACACCGAUGGCGAAGGCAAUCCCCUGGGCCUGCACUGACGCUCAUGCACGAAAGCGUGGGGAGCAAACAGGAUUAGAAACCCGAGUAGUCC
rnacentral:rRNA from 1 species